CAAAAUUGAUCAAUAUUUCAAACCAGUGCAUUAAAUGUCCUUCACUUGUCCCUAUUGCUUUCUGAAAAAAAAAAAAAUAGUUCACGCAUUUUCUCUGCCCCAAAGCAUUGAUCAAUCCCUUUUCAUUACCCAAAAACCAACGUAAAAUCAAAGACUUUUCUCUUCUCUGUUUUCUCCUUCCUCUCAUCUUUCCCAAAUUAGUGCAAUAAAUUAUUUUUGGUUUCAAAUUCGUAUUAAAAGCCCAAGAAUCGUCCAAAUUCGAUGAGGGAUUUGUCCCUUUCAAUAUUUUGAAUUCCGAUUUCCCCCUCCAAUUUGCCCGUUGGCUUCUUUAAAUUUUUAAUUUCAAAUUCAGACUUUUAAAUCCAAAAUUGUCUAUAAAUACCUACGUUUUUGCCUAUUUCAGGGCAGAUUUUUGGAUAAGUGAAAAGGGGAGUAAAAGGAAGAAAAACAGAGGCCAGGGUGGUGGUUCUAAUAAAGGAAAAAUUUGGGAAAAUUACAGGUUCUAUUUCUUCUUUUUUCGGCCUAAAGUCGAGUUCCCAGAGUCGGUUUCGUCGAGAGAAAAUCCUAGACGUCAAAGCCUCAAUUUGCGGCCCGAAAAAAGGCUCAUAAAUUAGUUGAGAGGGAAUGCUUGUAUUACUUGGACCAUAUUCGUGACACAAGUGUUGUUUUGCCUCCUUCUUUGGAUUUUGUCUGUGUUGUUCGUGAGUUUAUGGAGGUGUUCCCUAAGGACUUGCUUAGUAUGCCUUCGGAUCGAGAUAUUCAUUUUAUUAUUGAUGUUGAGUUGGGCACCAAGUCCAUUUCUAUUCCUCCUCAUAGGAUGGUCCCAACAGAGUUGAAGGAACUUAACAUAGUACACAAAAGCCUUAUUCAUCUCCAGAGGGCUUCUUGGAUGAAGAAGGCUAGGCAAAUUAUCAAGAGUGAAUGCAAAUUUUGAGCAAUAUCGUAUGUCUCUUCUACCGUACAGGAUCUUUUGAUUGCUCUAUACUCAACUAUUUUCCUAUUGAAUUAUGGAAGCUCUGAAAAUCAACAAUAAUUAUGUUACUCUGUCUCCCUCCUCCGCGUUAUCUUCUUUCUAGGUUUUCACUACUUAAUAUCUUUCUCUUCCCCUUUCCUUUAACUUGCAGAAAGAACAAUUCAAUAUUAUAUUUUAAGAAAAUAGCUAUGUAAAAGUAAUAUAGUAAUGUUUCAUAGUCAUUUUUAUGUGCUUAGGAGAAAUAUAUUAAGCUAAAA